UACGUAGGGGGCGAGCGUUGUCCGGAUUUAUUGGGCGUAAAGAGCGUGUAGGCGGCCAGGUAGGUCUGCUGUGAAAACUCGAGGCUCAACCUCGAGACGUCGGCGGAAACCAUCUGGCUAGAGUCCGGAAGAGGAGAGUGGAAUUCCUGGUGUAGCGGUGGAAUGCGCAGAUAUCAGGAGGAACACCUAUAGCGAAGGCAGCUUGCUGGGACGUUACUGACGCUAAGGCGCGAAAGCGUGGGGAGCGAACAGG
rnacentral:rRNA from 1 species